rnacentral:rRNA from 1 species
AUUGAACGCUGGCGGCAUGCCUUACACAUGCAAGUCGAACGGUAACAGGUCUUCGGAUGCUGACGAGUGGCGAACGGGUGAGUAAUACAUCGGAACGUGCCCAGACGUGGGGGAUAAUGAGGCGAAAGCUUUGCUAAUACCGCAUACGAUCUAAGGAUGAAAGCAGGGGACCGCAAGGCCUUGCGCGUUUGGAGCGGCCGAUGGCAGAUUAGGUAGUUGGUGGGAUAAAAGCUUACCAAGCCGACGAUCUGUAGCUGGUCUGAGAGGACGACCAGCCACACUGGGACUGAGACACGGCCCAGACUCCUACGGGAGGCAGCAGUGGGGAAUUUUGGACAAUGGGCGAAAGCCUGAUCCAGCAAUGCCGCGUGCAGGAUGAAGGCCUUCGGGUUGUAAACUGCUUUUGUACGGAACGAAAAGGCUCUGGCUAAUACCUGGGGCACAUGACGGUACCGUAAGAAUAAGCACCGGCUAACUACGUG